rnacentral:misc_RNA from 1 species
UUGAAGUAUUAAAUAUCACUCAGAUUACUGAUUCGAAAGGGUUUGAAAUGUCCCGUCGGCGGGCGCACCGGAGCGCAGAGGCCACGGGCGGCCCCCCCGCCGGAGCGAGGGUGCCGUCGGCCCGCCGAGGCAACGUGGUAGAUUGACAAAGGGUUGGAGGUCGGGCCCCGAAGGACCCUAUCUCGGUAAUGAUCCUUCCGCAGGUUCACCUACGGAAA